AAGGACGGCAUCAGGGUGCGGUCCGCGAUGCCUAAGCGCCGUGGACAGCGUCGUGACGCAGCGCCACUGGCCGCUGACGAGGGCUCUGUUCCAGCAUCAUCGGUUUCUGUUGCCGACAAGAAGGAUGGAAGCAAGGCGCCGUCCUCGACGCCCAGGCGCUGUCGCCGGCUUCGCAAGCUGGCGCUGGCCACGGCCACUGACGGCUCUGGCGAAGCACACUUCACAGACAAGGAUGACGGCGACGCCCCAUCCAAAUUCUUGCCAAGAAGGGUGUGACUGUAUUGCCUGAUAUCUAUGCUAAUUCUGGUGGUGUGAUCAUGUGCUACUUUGAGUGGGUUCAGAACAUUCAAGGUUUCAUGUGGGAUGAAGAGAAAGUGAACAAUGAACUCCAGAAGUAUAUGAGUAGCGCGUUUCAUCACAUCAAGGCCAUGUUCAAGUCUCAAGAUUGCAACCUUAGGAUGGGGGCACUCACCUUAGGGGUUAACUGGGUCGCCUGUGCCACCCUGUUGAGGGGUUGGGAGGCAUGAGACCAUUAACAACACAUCCCCGAUUUGACAUUCAAUAAUUCAUGUCCAACAAUACUGAAUGACCUGGUAAAUUCAUCAUAAGUCGCUAGCAUGGAAGGAGUCCAGUUGAAAUAAUAUUCUGGGUAAAUGACAAAUGUGUUGUGUUUGUUCUCUUUUUCACUGUUACACUGUGCUGGGUUGCCAUUGCCAAUGGUAGUUAUCAGUGAUGAUUGACAAAUUGGUUGAGGCACUUCGAUGCUUCACGAAGGUUGUUGCAUUUUGAUGUUUCAGAAAGCUUGUUUGGUCUCAA